CCUACGGGAGGCAGCAGUGGGGAAUAUUGGGCAAUGGACGCAAGUCUGACCCAGCAACGCCGCGUGAAGGAAGAAGGCUUUAGGGUUGUAAACUUCUUUUUAGGGAGAAGAGCAGAAGACGGUACCCCUUGAAUAAGCCACGGCUAACUACGUGCCAGCAGCCGCGGUAAUACGGAGGUGGCAAGCGUUGUCCGGAUUUACUGGGUUUAAAGGGUGUGCAGCCGGGAAGACAAGUCAGAUGUGAAAUUCCGCGGCUCAACCGCAGAACUGCAUUUGAAACUGUUUGUCUUGAGUAUCGGAGAGGUAAGCGGAAUUCCUGGUGGAGCGGUGAAAUGCGUAGAUAUUAGGAAGAACACCAAUGGCGAAGGCGGAUUACUGGACGACAACUGACGGUGAGGCGCGAAAGCGUGGGGAGCAAACAGGAUUAGAUACCCGAGUAGUC
rnacentral:rRNA from 1 species